rnacentral:rRNA from 1 species
UACACUCCUACGGGAGGCAGCAGUAGGGAAUCUUCCACAAUGGGUGCAAACCUGAUGGAGCAAUGCCGCGUGAGUGAAGAAGGUCUUCGGAUCGUAAAGCUCUGUUGUUAGAGAAGAACACGUGCUAGGUAACUACUAGCGCCUUGACGGUAUCUAACCAGAAAGUCACGGCUAACUACGUGCCAGCAGCCGCGGUAAUACGUAGGUGACAAGCGUUGUCCGGAUUUAUUGGGCGUAAAGGGAGCGCAGGCGGUCUGUUUAGUCUAAUGUGAAAGCCCACGGCUUAACCGUGGAACGGCAUUGGAAACUGACAGACUUGAAUGUAGUAGAGGAAAAUGGAAUUCCAAGUGUAGCGGUGGAAUGCGUAGAUAUUUGGAGGAACACCAGUGGCGAAGGCGAUUUUCUGGUCUAACAUUGACGCUGAGGCUCGAAAGCGUGGGGAGCGAACAGGAUUAGAAACCCCUGUAGUCCC